rnacentral:misc_RNA from 1 species
UUAAGUUCAGCGGGUAUUCCUACCUGAUCCGAGGUCAACGUUCAGAAGUUGGGUGUUUUACGGCGUGGCCACGUCGGGGUUCCGGUGCGAGUUGGAUUACUACGCAGAGGUCGCCGCGGACGGGCCGCCACUCCAUUUCGGGGCCGGCGGUAUGCUGCCGUUCCCCAACGCCGAUUUCCCCAAAGGGAAGUCGAGGGUUG